rnacentral:rRNA from 1 species
AUUGAACGCUGGCGGCAGGCCUAACACAUGCAAGUCGAACGGAGUGGCGGACGGGUGAGUAAUGACUAGGAAUCUGCCUGGGAGGGGGGGAUAAAGUCCGGAAACGGGCGCAAAUACCGCAUACUAUCAGAUGAGCCUAGGGCGGAUUAGCUCGUUGGUGGGGUAAGGGCCUACAAAGGCGACGAUCCGUAACUGGUCUGAGAGGAUGAUCAGUCACACUGGAACUGAGACACGGUCCAGACUCCGACGGGAGGCAGCAGUGGGGAAUAUUGGACAAUGGGCGAAAGCCUGAUCCAGCCAUGCCGCGUGUGUGAAGAAGGUCUUCGGAUUGUAAAGCACUUUAAGUUGGGAGGCGUUACCAACAGAAUAAGCACCGGCUAACUUCGUGCCAGCCGCCGCGGUAAUAC